UUAGAUAGUAUGUUCCGAGCUGGACUACCUCCUUGACUUCAUACGGGCCUUCCCAGUUCGGGGCAAGCUUCCCUUGGGUCUGAGGUUGUGAAACAGUGGCUCGCCUAAGUACUAAGUCCCCCACUCUGAAGGUUUUACUCUUGAUCCGAAAGUUGUAGUAGCGGGCUGCUUUCUGCUUGUAGGCUGCCAUCCGAACUUGAGCUAUCUCCUGCUUCUCUUCUAACAAGUCGAGGUUGGCCUUGAGAUCCUGUGAGU
rnacentral:lncRNA from 1 species